GCCCCCAUAGCUCAAUGGAUAGAGCACCUGCCUUCUAAGCAGGUAAUUCAGGUUCGAUUCCUGAUGGGGGCA
rnacentral:tRNA from 4 species